rnacentral:rRNA from 1 species
UACGGAGGGUGCAAGCGUUAUCCGGAUUUACUGGGUUUAAAGGGUGCGUAGGUGGGUAGGUAAGUCAGUGGUGAAAUCUCCGGGCUUAACCCGGAAACUGCCAUUGAUACUAUUUAUCUUGAAUAUCCUGGAGGUGAGCGGAAUAUGUCAUGUAGCGGUGAAAUGCUUAGAUAUGACAUAGAACACCAGUUGCGAAGGCAGCUCACUACGGGAUCAUUGACACUGAGGCACGAAAGCGUGGGGAUCAAACAGG